rnacentral:rRNA from 1 species
UACGGGGGGGGCAAGCGUUGUUCGGAAUUACUGGGCGUAAAGGGCUCGUAGGUGGCCAACUAAGUCAGACGUGAAAUCCCUCGGCUUAACCGAGGAACUGCGUCUGAUACUGGAUGGCUUGAGUUUGGGAGAGGAAUGCGGAAUUCCAGGUGUAGCGGUGAAAUGCGUAGAUAUCUGGGGGAACACCGGUGGCGAAGGCGGCAUUCUGGACCAAUACUGACGCUGAGGAGCGAAAGCCAGGGGAGCAAACGGG